GGAUGGGAGUGGAAACAAAUCUGAGAUUUUGAACUCAUUCCCCCACUCCCUCUGCGCACACCUCCCCUGACUAAUUCCUGAGAAUUUUCUCCUCCUUCUCUCUACCUUCUCUGCACCUUCUCUCUCAAAAGAAACCACCGUUCACCUCCUCCUUUCUGUAUUCCAGUACCAUAGAAAGACGCACGACUUUAAGAGCUUCCAGAAGAACGUUCGGUUUGUGAAGACUGAGCUGUCUGAAUUGACGAGCGUUGACGAGCGGGAGAUCUGUAGUGGAAGAGAGUGUUUUGAGUAUUUGUGGACGUUCGGUCAUUUUCCAGACGUUGUUGAGGAGAUCCCUUUGGAGCAAGAGCUGGAGGAUACUAAGGUUGCGGAGUAGUCUUCUUAGGAAUUCCUAUCGGAACACGUGUAGUGUUCGAAUCUGUAAACUGGUUAAGUUUAAAUUUUCCGUUUCUUUUAUUUUAGAUGACUGUAAUUUCGUACUUUAAUUACACGUCAUGAUCCAACUGUUCUCUUUAUUGGAAUGUUGACGUCUUUAUUAUGUAAUAUUUGUUAUUAUAUAAUCGGGAUGUUACAGUGGACGUUGAAGUGAAGAUCGAACAGUGAGACGCUCGGCUGGUAGCGUAGUGAUGGGAAGAUCGAACAGUGAGACGCUCGGCUGGUAGCGUAGUGAUGGGAUUUAUUGGUCGUUCGACCACCUUAUGUUUUCAUUUUUUUGUUACGACCGUUCGGUAUUUCAUUUGUAAACCGUUCGGUCGGAUUUAUGUACGUUCGACUUUAAAUUUGAAACCUUAUGUAUGGACGUACGGUUUUGUGCGUUCGUUCUUUGUUAUUGUAAGACUGUACUCAAGGACGUUCGUCCUUGAGUGUUCGUUAUGUUUAGUAAAAACUGUUUUGAAUUAUUAUUGAA